ACUUAUUCAGUUCAUCUACUUCAGCUACUGGAGGAAACAAGAUGUCAAAAUUGCCCGUGGAGAUAGUGGUGCGGUGUUGAGAUAAAUGAUGCCAGCGCUUUACAAGGAAUUUAUGAGAUCCAUAAGCCGAUUUCACGUGCUUUACCAGAGGUGACGUGAAUAAAAUUCAGAUCUCCUUUUUGAUCUUGGCAAAGGGAAACGAACUCUGUCGGCAUGCAACAUAAAGUUUCAACGCAUGUGGAUACUCAUUUCUUUUUGGAACAGAAUUUCUUUUCUUCAGUCCCUCAAGCAUUUGUCCUCUCAAUUUGAGAAUUUGCUUUCCUAACACAACUAAGUCUUGGUUUUCUCCCAAUGCUUCCCUCUGCUUGCUCUUUAGCCCUCUGACAGGAUGCUGGCACAACAUGAUUAAACAUGAUCGUGCUUUGUGAA